CUUCCGCUCUGGUCUACGUACGCAUUAGUUCCGCAACACUUGUCAAUAACACACACACACACACACACACACACACACACACACACACACACACACACACACACACACACACACACACACACACACACACACACACACACACACACACACACACACACACAGCGGGGGAGCUUAGUGGGCAGGCGAAGGGUCUUUUGUUUUACGCCCGUGGGAGCAGGGCCAGGUUUGCGGGGUUUUAAUGCCUGAGAGGGUGUAUUGGGUGCUGCAACACCCCGGGUCUUACGGCCUGGACCGGCCUAGUGGCCAGACGCGUUUGUGGCUGCCCUUAGGCAUUGUCUGCCCUUGCGUCGAGAGCUGGUUAGGUUGCGGUUGAGGUCGUGCAGGCUGCCGGGUCGUAGGACUCAGCCCCGCAGCCACUGUGGUCGUGCUUUCGCGUGCUGUCGCGUGCUGCGUGUUUUGUUAUGUUUGCUGUUUGCGGGGUUUUAAUGCCUGAGAGGGUGUAUUGGGUGCUGCAACACCCCGGGUCUUACGGCCUGGACCGGCCUAGUGGCCAGACGCGUUUGUGGCUGCCCUUAGGCAUUGUCUGCCCUUGCGUCGAGAGCUGGUUAGGUUGCGGUUGAGGUCGUGCAGGCUGCCGGGUCGUAGGACUCAGCCCCGCAGCCACUGUGGUCGUGCUUUCGCGUGCUGUCGCGUGCUGCGUGUUUUGUUAUGUUUGCUGUUUUUUGUCUUCUGCCCGCCUGGUUUUUAAGAGGUAGCUCGCCCGCUGGGUCUGAGGUUGUUACACCGGUAGUAAUUCCGCAAGGAUUACUGGCGAGGUGAAGGGUCGGAGUGCGUUGCCCUGUGGACUCCAGAGCUGGUUGCGCUCUGCCGGGGAAACGCCAGGUCACGGCAGCCCUCGAUUGAGAGCCCUGUCGUUGGUUAUACCAGAUACACGAUUCACGUGAUCUGGCAGAAUAACCGUGGAAACCGUA
rnacentral:lncRNA from 1 species